rnacentral:misc_RNA from 2 species
AACGCACAUUGCGCCCCUUGGUAUUCCAUGGGGCAUGCCUGUUCGAGCGUCAUUUGUACCCUCAAGCUCAGUCUUGGUGUUGGGUGUUUGUCCUGCCCUCGUGGCGGACUCGCCUUAAAGUGAUUGGCAGCCGGAAUAAAUCUGGGGAACGCAGCACAACUGCAGCCUCUAGUCUUAUACGCCGAGCGUCCAACAAGCCUUUUAUUCUUGCGUUUGACCUCGGAUCAGGUAGGGAUACCCGCUGAACUUAA